rnacentral:tRNA from 1 species
GGGUAUUUAGUCUAAAUAAGACACUUGAUUUCGGCUCAAAAGAUUGAAGUUAAAUUCCUCAAGCACCCU